rnacentral:misc_RNA from 1 species
CCGUACUCGAUUCACUCACGUGAUAUCCCGUACAAUAAUAAAAUAAUGACCGACUCUAUAGCGUGGCCCAUCGAGGUCCGGCCUCCCCAAGCCGGGGAGACGGAAAGAGGGCUGAGAGUCGCCUUUCUGUCUCGGUGCUGCCUUGGCGGGCAGGCCGAACAUGGCAGAGAAAAGAGAGACCGGGGCGCUGUGGUGGCGUCUCGGUCAAAACACUCCCUCUCGAGGGCCGAGGCGCGGGUACGCUGAGGUCGGUCGACACGUGCACGUAGUGAAGGUUUAUGCGGUGCGUGUCAUAUAAGGCCGASUCUCUUGCUCCGUCCGAGGCCUCCCUGAGAGGGAGACAAACUGCCGAGCUGUAAGUGACCAUGUGCCCUGCGAAGCAGUAUUGGGAGCCGGGUGUUGGCCUGAACUGGCCGGCACCCGGCUUUCCAAACACUGAGAGAUGGCUUUGAGUUGCUCCCUUGGAGCUGGCCAGACGAAGUUGCGGUACCAGAAUAUAUCGUCCGAUUCUUUUGAGUUGGCCCUGGAAUUGUGUGGGCACGAGAAUCAUCAGAGACGGUUGGUUGUAAAGCUAUUUUUUGCGCCGCUUCGACUCAGUGAGUCUGGCCCACAAGCCUACCAACAUUGGUUUGUGGGUACCACCAGGCGAAGCGUGAGCCAAUGGGCCUCCGUAGUAGCUUGUCGUGGGUAAACGGGACGUGUUUGUCUCUUGUUCUCUUUUUGAGAGAAUAAGGACCGAGUCUCUCUAGGAAAAUAGCCUGAAUAUUACUGCUGUCCGUGGACUUGAGAGAAAUCUGGGUCGCUAACACGGUUCAGUCGGUUAACAAAAUAC